AACGCACAUUGCGCCCUGUGGUAUUCCGCAGGGCAUGCCUGUUCGAGCGUCAGUACAACACUCAAGCUUGGCUUGGUAUUGAACCACGUCCGCAAGGACCGGUUUUAAAAUCAGUGGCGGCGCCAUCUGGCUCUAAGCGUAGUAAUACUCCUCGCUUUUGGGUCCUGAUGGAUGUUGGCCAGCAACCCCCAACUUUCUAAGUUUGACCUCGGAUCAGGUAGGGAUACCCGCUGAACUUAA
rnacentral:misc_RNA from 4 species